ACUGCUCCCUCAUCUUCGCUGCCUGCAAGCGGCAAGGAGCUUUUUAAGGCUUCAAUAGUUAAUCAUUCGUAAGAAAUAGGAAACAGACAUCGAAAAUAAUAAAUAAGGGAAAAACAAAAUUGUAUAAAACUCUCUGGUAGUUAGCAGUGGUCGACUUCUGAAAUACUAGAGGGUUUCAACUUAAAAUUAGGGCGUCUCAGACUUCCCUGGUGGUACAGUGGAUAGGAAUCCGGCUGCCAACGCAGGGAACGUGGGCUCAAUCUCUGGUCUGGGAAGAUCCCACAUACCUCGGAGCAAUGAAGCCCAUGUACCACAACUGCCGAGCCCACAUGCCCCCAAGCCUGUGCUCCGCAGGAAGAGAAGCCACUGCAGUGAGAAGCCCACACACUCAACGAAGAGAACCCGCUCACCGCAACUAGAGAAAGCCCUCGAGUGUCAAUGAAGACCCCAUGUAGCCAAUAAUGGUGGAGUAGCAGUUCUGUGGAUGAGAAUAUCAAGCAGGCAUUUUGAUGAUGCAGGUAAUGAAGCUGGUUGGAGAAAAUGGGAACUGCAUUGGAAAAUACCAAAUGAAUUCUUUUGUGUUCUCCUGUUCUAAUGCCUGGGUCAAAGCAACCCAAACCAACCGCAGUUCUGCAACACCAGCUUGCAGGAUCUUUUCAUACUGUUCAUGGGGUUCUCAAGGCAAGAAUACUGAAGUGGUUUGUCAUUCUCUUCUCCAGUGGACCACGUUUUGUCAGAACUUUUGAACUGUGGUGUUGGAGAAAACUCUUGAGAGUCCCUUGGACUGCAAGGAGAUCAAACCAGCCAAUCCUUAAGGAAAUCUACCCUGAAUGUUCAUUGAAAGGACUGAUGCUGAAGCUGAAGCUCCAAUAUUUGGGCCACCUGAUGUGAAGAACUGACUCCUUGGAAAAGACCCUGAUGCUGGGAAAGAUUGAAGGUGGGAAGAGAAGUGGACGGCAGAGGAUAAGAUGGUUGGAUGGCAUCACUGACUUGAUGGACGUGAGUUUGAGCAAGCUCUGAGAGUUGGUGAUGGACAGGGAAGCCUGGAGUGCUGCAGUUCAUCGGGUAUCAAAGAACGGGACAUGACUGAAC
ensembl:lncRNA